GAUGAAGAACGUAGCGAAAUGCGAUAAGUAGUGUGAAUUGCAGAAUUCAGUGAAUCAUCGAAUCUUUGAACGCACAUUGCGCCCCUUGGUAUUCCAUGGGGCAUGCCUGUUCGAGCGUCAUUUGUACCUUCAAGCUUUGCUUGGUGUUGGGUGUUUGUCCUGAGGAACUCGCCUUAAAGUAAUUGGCAGCCAGUGUUUUGGUUUUGAAGCGCAGCACAAGUCGCGAUUCAAAGCUAUACGCCAGCUUCCACAAGCCUUUUUCACUUUUGACCUCGGAUCAGGUAGGGAUACCCGCUGAACUUAAGCAUAUCAAUAAGCGGAGGA
rnacentral:misc_RNA from 1 species